rnacentral:rRNA from 1 species
CUACGUGCCAGCAGCCGCGGUAAUACGUAGGUCCCGAGCGUUGUCCGGAAUUAUUGGGCGUAAAGCGCGCGCAGGCGGAUAGGUAAGUCUGAAGUUAAAGGUCGGGGCUCAACCAUAGUUCGGGAUGGAAACUGUCGAACUUGAGUGCCGGAGAGGAAAGUGGAAUUCCAUGUGUAGCGGUGAAAUGCGUAGAUAUUAGGAAGAACACCGGUGGCGAAAGCGGCUUUCUGGACUGUAACUGACGCUGAGGCGCGAAAGCCAGGGGAGCGAACGGGAUUAGAUACCCCGGUAGUCCACGCCGUAAACGAUGGGUACUAGGUGUUGGAGGUAUCCCGGGAUUCUGUGCCGGAGUUAACGCAAUAAGCACUCCGCCUGGGGAGUACGACCGCAAGGUUGAAACUCAAAGGAAUUGACGGGGGCCCGCACAAGCGGUGGAGUAUGUGGUUUAAUUCGACGCAACGCGAAGAACCUUACCAGGUCUUGACAUCCCGAUGCCAUUACUAGAGAUAGAAAGUUACUUCGGUAC